UGGGGAAUAUUGGACAAUGGGGGCAACCCUGAUCCAGCCAUGCCGCGUGAGUGAUGAAGGCCUUCGGGUUGUAAAGCUCUUUUGGCGGGGACGAUGAUGACGGUACCCGCAGAAUAAGCCCCGGCUAACUUCGUGCCAGCAGCCGCGGUAAGACGAAGGGGGCUAGCGUUGUUCGGAAUUACUGGGCGUAAAGCGAGUGUAGGCGGUUGCCGUAGUCAGGUGUGAAAGCCUUGAGCUCAACUCAAGAAAUGCACUUGAUACUGGGUGACUAGAGGACCGGAGAGGAUAGUGGAAUUCCCAGUGUAGUGGUGAAAUACGUAGAGAUUGGGAAGAACACCAGUGGCGAAGGCGGCUAUCUGGACGGUUACUGACGCUAAGACUCGAAAGCGUGGGGAGCAAAACAGGAUUAGAUACCCUGGUAGUCCACGCCGU
rnacentral:rRNA from 1 species